GAAAUUGCAUCGGAUAUUAUAAAAGUCAUAAAUGAUUUUCUAUGUAAGAAUAUUGGAAAGCCGUUAUCUUGAAAGUUACCACCAGGAACAGUGAAUGCUGCUGUAAACAUAAUAGUAAUGAUAAGAGCGCCUACAACUGUGCAAGAUGUUGCUGUCUCCUUCAUCUAUUUCUCACCAUCACCCAUCAACUGCUUGUGCUGAUCAGAAAAUAUUUGCCUUGGCAUUUCAUUAUUGAUGUUGAUAAAUUCUUUAAAUGAAGGAUUCACAAUAUUUUCCACUUCCUUGUACCACUGUA
rnacentral:misc_RNA from 1 species